ACUUCCUUCUUUGGAACUGCUUCUUGCAUGAGCUGUUUCGGAUAUUUCGUCUCCUGGCCUGGCUUAUUUCGUUUCGGUGCUGCUGAGACCUCCUUUCGCGGAAUAUUACUCAAUGACAGUGUGCGAAGAACGCGAGUUCCCCUUCUCGACGAAAAUCGUGGACUAACAGUUUGAAGUCAUUGAACUACUUCCAAGAGUUGUAUCGACAUCAACAGGAUUACGAUUUCAGUGCAAUAUGAUGCAGGAUGACCUUAUCACGAUAACCCAUGAUUAUAAACCAUUAUAAACACAGAAUCAACAAAAACAUCUGCGAAACGCACCUGGCGCAUGGCUACAUUUCUUCUAUAUAAAUCUGAUCGAGGGUGGGGAAAUCUGAAAUAUCUGAAAGGCAAGACAAAUUUAUGGCAGAGUCAUGAAAUUCUGCAACAGCAACAUGCACAGAAUGACCUCCGUAUAAAAAAAGUAUCGCCACCUGACUACUCACAUGUUUCCCCGCAGAAGAACAUGCAUUAUGCUAGUGCCAUUUUCUGCAAAAAAAG